GUGCUCGAAAAUGUUAAAGUUCUUAUUUCAUGGUAUAACUUUGGUAUGCUUGGACCUAGAGUCUUCAAACUUGACAUGAAGGUUGGCCAGGAUUAACAGAUGACCACUGGUCAUUUCAAGGUCAUUCAUUUGAAGGUCAAGGUCACUGUGACCUUCAAUAUAAAAAAUGUUAAAGUUGUUAUAACUUUGGUAUGCUUGGACCUAGAGUCUUGAAACUUGACAUGAAGGUUGGCCAUAACUAGUUAGUAACCACUGGUCAUUUCAAGGUCAUUCAUUUGAAGGUCAAGGUCACUGACCUUGAAUGUAAAAAUGUUAAAGUUGUUAUAACUUUGGUAUGCUUGGACCUAGAGUCUUGAAACUUGACAUGAAGGUUGGCCAGAACUAGUAAGUAACCACUGGACAUUUCAAGGUCAUUCAUUUGAAGGUCAAGGUCACUGUGACCUUGAAUGUAAAAAUGUUAAAGUUCUUAUUUCAUGUUAUAACUUUGGUAUGCUUGUACCUAGAGUCUUCAAACUUGAAAUAAAGAUUGGCCAGUACUAGAAGAUGACCACUGGUCAUUUCAAUGUCAUUUGAAGGUCAAGGUCACUGUGACCUUAAAUGUUAAAAUGUUAAAAUUGUUAUAACUUUGGUAUGCUUGGACAUAGAGUCUUCAAACUUGACAUGAAGGUUUGCAAGCACACUUAGAUGACCACUGGUCAUUUCAAGGUCAUUCAUUCUAAGGUCAAGGUCACUGUGACCUUGAAUGUAAAAAUGUUAAAGUUCUUAUAACUUUGGUAGGUAAAAAUGUUAAAGUUCUUAUUCCAUGUUAUAACUUUGGUAUGCUUGUACCUAGAGUCUUAAAUGUUAUUGUUGUUCAUGUAUAUGCAUGCAUUCAAAACAUAACACAAGGUUUGCUCAUGCCUUGAAAAGUACUUACAUUUCAUUUUGACCUUUGAACAAUAUUUCAGUAAUUUAAGUAUUGCAUUGACAAAAACACGAAAGGUACUUUCCUGUCAUUUAAAUCAAAAAUCCGGCUUCAAUGCGGUCAUCUCCGACCGCGGAACUCUUGUUGAAUGAUAACUCAAGAACGCAUACGCCUAGGAUCAUGAAACUUCAUGGGUAGAUUGAUCAUGACUUGCAGAUGACCCCUAUUGAUUUUGAGGUCACUAGGUAAAAGGUCAAGGUCACGGUGACCCGAAAUAGUAAAAUGGUUUCCGGAUGAUAGCUCAAGAACGCAUACGCCUAGGAUCAUGAAACUUCAUGGGUAGAUUGAUCAUGACUCGCAGAUGACCCCUAUUGAUUUUGAGGUCACUAGGUCAAAGGUCAAGGUCACGGUGACCCGAAAUAGUAAAAUCGUUUUCGGAUGAUAACUCAAGAACGCAUACGCCUAGGAUCAUGAAACUUCAUAGGUAGAUUGAUCAUGACUUGCAGAUGACCCCUAUUGAUUUUGAGGUCACAAGGUCAAAGGUCAAGGUCACGGUGACCCGAAAUAGUAAAAUGAUUUUCGGAUGAUAACUCAAGAACGCUUUUGCCUAGGAUCAUGACACUUCAUAGGUACAUUGAUCUUGACCCGCAGAUGACCCCUAUUGAUUUUCAGGUCACUAGGUCAAAGGUCAAGGUCACAGUGACAAAAAUCGUAUUCACACAAUGGCUGCCACUACAACGGACAGCCCAUAUGGGGGGCAUGCAUGUUUUACAAACAGCCCUUGUUUCGAA